ACCACUUUGCUCAAUACCAACUUGUGGAAUUCUGUUCCCUAAGAUAAUUGGAUCUCUGUCAAUUACGAAAUUUCAUGGCUAUGAUUGCCGAAUCUAAUCAUGGCUCAAAGUUUCCAAAACUAGAAGUUCUCCAUGUUGAAGAAUGUCCCCUAUUAGAGUCUAUAUUUCCUCUUGUCUCUUCUCAAGACAUUCCAGUACUAGAAACUAUUGAAGUUAAAAGAUGCGAUGAGUUGAAGUAUGUAUUUGGCAUAUACCAACAUGCGGAAUUUCGUUCACUAAGCAAAUUGCAGCUCUGUCAUUUACCAAAUUUCAUUGCUAUGUUUCGCGAAUCUAAUCAUCCCAUAUCUUGGUCUGCAAAAGGGUCAACAUCUUCCGUUCCAUUGGAGUCAAAUCCUUAUCGCCUUUAUAUAUGGGAGCGUGCUCAAUGUCUUCAAAUACAAUCAACGAUGCUUUACAACAUUAGAACGAUUGAAUUGUCCUAGUUCUCCAAGAUAAAAACUGUAUUUAUGGUAUUAGUUGUUCCCAGAAUGAAGGUGGAAUAUUUGACAAUUAGGAAUUGUGAUUCAUUGGAGCACAUAAUAGACUUUGGAGAUUAUGACACUGGCAACAAUAACUGGGGCAGUAUUUUCCCAAAUUUGAAAAAGCUCUACAUUGAAGGUUGUGCAAAAUUGAAAUAUAUAUUUGGACUCGACACUCCUGAUCAACAAAACAACAUGGAGAUUCAACUUAAUCUUCCGACAUUGGAAUUUCUAAUUCUUCUCAAUCUGCGAAGUUUAGUCGCCACGUGUCCCAAAAGAUUUUGUACAACAUUUCAUUCUCAGGCGAAACUUAAACUAAUAAAAUGUCCCCAGGCUGCUAACAAAUCUAUUGGUAUUUUCAAAAAUGUUUCAGAUUCAGAAUCUAUGGACAGUCCAAAUCCAACGGAAUAUGACAUUUAUCUUGAAGAACAACACGAAACAACUCAGCCUAAUAACCAAGG